GGGGUGUGGCCGGGACUCCGGAAUGAGGUGUUUAAAAAAUAUAAUUCCAAGGAGAAAAAUUAUUUGUCAAUACCAUGGGAAAAUGUUUUUUAUGCAAGUAUCAGUGAAACAAGAUCUUUUGAAGUAAAGGUCACUUGAGUUAAGUUCUGGAAAAGCUACCUCGAUUACAACAGAGCCCAUCCAGCUGGGCAAACCUUCUGAAGCUGUCACUGAGGGUGAAAUCAGAGGAAGAAUAAGAGAGUGUGGAGAGAGCAGCAGGAUCUUCAAGGAGCUGCUUAUUCUCUUAAGGAACGACAGAAAAAUGGCAGAUGUCCAGACCCAUCCCUCUGCUACAGAUGAGUUGCUAGCGGAUGAGGCAGCUCCCUG